GCUGGGCAUGGUGGCGUGUGCCUGUAAUCCCAACUACUCGGGAGGCUGAGGCAGGAGAAUUGCUUGAACCUGGGAGGCAGAGGCUGCAGUGAGCCAAGAUCAUGCCACUGCACUCCAGCCUGGGCAACAGAGUGAGACCCUGUUUUUU
rnacentral:sRNA from 1 species